UACAGAGGGUGCAAGCGUUAAUCGGAAUUACUGGGCGUAAAGCGUGCGUAGACGGUUACAUAAGUCGGGUGCGAAAGCCCCGGGCUCAACCUGGGAAUUGCAUUCGAGACUGCGUAGCUAGGGUGCGGAAGAGGGAAGCGGAAUUUCCGGUGUAGCGGUGAAAUGCGUAGAUAUCGGAAGGAACACCAGUGGCGAAAGCGGCUUCCUGGUCCAGCACCGACGUUCAGGCACGAAAGCGUGGGGAGCAAACAGG
rnacentral:rRNA from 1 species